UCCGCAGGGGGUAGAUUAAGUCUGAUGUGAAAUCCCUGAGCUUAACUCAGGAACUGCAUUGGAGACUGGUCUACUAGAGUAUCGGAGAGGAGAUUGGAAUUCCAGGUGUAGCGGUGGAAUGCGUAGAUAUCUGGAAGAACACCGAAAGCGAAGGCAGAUCUCUGGACGAUUACUGACCCUCAGGGACGAAAGCGUGGGGAGCAAACAG
rnacentral:rRNA from 1 species